CAGCGCCACGAGUGGGAAUCACGAUUAUUGGGCCUAAAGCGUCCGUAGCCGGUUUGAUAAAUCUUUAGUGAAAUCGUUGUGCUCAACACAACGGCGUGCUCAAGAGACUGUUAAACUAGGAACCGGGAGGAGUCAGAGGUAUGCACGGGGGAGCGGUAAAAUGCAAUAAUCCCUUGCAGACCACCUGUGGCGAAGGCGUCUGACUAGAACGGAUUCGACGGUGAGGGACGAAAGCCAGGGGAGCGAACCGGAUUAGAUACCCGCGUAGUCC
rnacentral:rRNA from 1 species